AACGAACGCUGGCGGCAUGCCUAACACAUGCAAGUCGAACGAUGCUUUCGGGCAUAGUGGCGCACGGGUGCGUAACGCGUGGGAAUCUGCCUUGGGGUACGGAAUAACUCAGAGAAAUUUGAGCUAAUACCGUAUGAUGUCUUCGGACCAAAGAUUUAUCGCCCUGAGAUGAGCCCGCGUAGGAUUAGCUAGUUGGUGGGGUAAAGGCCUACCAAGGCGACGAGCCUUAGCUGGUCUGAAAGGAUGAUCAGCCACACUGGGACUGAGACACGGCCCAGACUCCUACGGGAGGCAGCAGUGGGGAAUAUUGGACAAUGGGCGCAAGCCUGAUCCAGCAAUGCCGCGUGAGUGACGAAGGCCUUAGGGUUGUAAAGCUCUUUUACCCGGGAAGAUAAUGACUGUACCGGGAGAAUAAGCCCCGGCUAACUCCGUGCCAGCCGCCGCCGUAA
rnacentral:rRNA from 1 species